UGAGGAACAUGACCUUCGGCGGGGGAUAGCCGGCCCAACGGCCGGGUAAUACCGCGUACGACCACAUGGGGACAUCCCUGAGUGGUGAAAGCAGCAAUGCGCCGAUGGAGUGCCUCGCGGCCUAUCAGCUAGUUGGUGGGGUAACGGCUCACCAAGGCGACGACGGGUAGCUGGUCUGAGAGGAUGGCCAGCCACAUUGGGACUGAGACACGGCCCAGACUCCUAGGGAGG
rnacentral:rRNA from 1 species